AUUGAACGCUGGCGGCAGGCCUAACACAUGCAAGUCGAGCGGAUGAAGCGUGCUUUCUCCUGGAUUCAGCGUCGGACGGGUGAGUAAUGCCUAGGAAUCUGCCUGGUAGUGAGUGAUAACGUCCGGAAACGGGCGCUACUACUGCAUACGACCUGAGGUAGAAGGUGGGUGGUCUUCGGACCUCUCGCUAUCAGAUGAGCUUAGGUCGGAUUAGCUAGUUGGUUGGGUAACGGCCUACCAAGUCGACGAUCCGUAACUGGUCUGAGAGGAUGAUCAGUCACACUGGAAGUGAGACACGGUCCAGACUCCUACGGGAGGGCGCAGUGGGGAAUAUUGGACAAUGGGCGAGAGCAUGAUCCAGCCAUGCCGCGUGUGUGAAGAAGGUCUUCGGAUUGGAAAGCACUUUAAGUUGGGAGGAAGGGCAGUAAGUUAAUACCUUGCGGUUUUGACGUUACCAACAGAAUAAGCACCGGCUAACUUCGUG
rnacentral:rRNA from 1 species